rnacentral:rRNA from 1 species
AUUGAACGCUGGCGGCAUGCCUUACACAUGCAAGUCGAACGGUAACGGACCAUGGGGUGCCUCCGACUGGCGGACGGGUGCGUACUACUUCGGAACAUGCCCGAAUGUGCGGUUUCACGGGGCGUAACCUUUGCUAAUACCCCCUACUAUCUAAUGCUGCCAGCGGGUGAAAGCAAGGCCUUUCGCGACCGUGCCGGAUGAUGGCAGAUUAGGUAGUUGGAGGGAUAAAGGCUUACCAAGGCGACGAUCUGUAGCUGGUCUGAGAGGAUGAUCAGCCACACUGGGACUGAGACACGGUCCAGACUCCUACGGGAGGCAGCAGUGGGGAAUUUUGGACAAUGGGCGCAAGCCUGAUCCAGCCAUGCCGCGUGCAUGAUGAAGGCCUUCGGGUUGUAAACUGCUUUUGUACGGAAAGAAAAGCCGUCGUUUAAUACAGGAGGGUUAUGACGGUACCGUAAGAAUAAGCACCGGCUAACUUCGUG